rnacentral:piRNA from 1 species
UAGAGGUUCCCACCCCCACCCCUAC